UUCCCUGGAUUCACCGAGUGAAUGAAGUGGUGAAUAUCUAAACAGUAUUAGUGAGAAAAGAGCAUUGACCUGAGCUGUGCUGACAUUGGGUUGGUCCUGGUGAUUUCAAAGAAUCGAGCAUCACACUCAGGGAUUGCUUUUAAUCUGGAUCCAGUUCAGGGAAAUGAACAUCCUGAAAGAAGCUUUAAACUGCUUCCACAGCCAGACAAGAAUUAGAUUUGUGGAAACUUUUGAACCAUAUACAGAUGUCUUUUGCAUAAGGAAGAACAUCUUGCAUGAAGCAGAGAUCUUGGCUUCUCUAGAACCUCUGACGCCUUUUACAAACAGGAUUGGUAUGGACAAAGUCCAUAGUGAAGUGGUCCAUGGUUUCCUGUGCUGCACAGUGCCUCAUGAAACAGCCGUGGUGGGUGAAGGAAGGACAGAUGGAGCAGAACAGAUCUGGGAAAGAUCUGCGCUGGUUCAAGGUUGUGGAUGUGCCGGGUUGUCUGAGCGUGUACAGCUCCCGUUGCCAUGAAGGAUGUGCUUGGAGUCACUAUUUUUAACACCUGUGGAAACAAGUGUUAGCAUGAAGGCACAUUCCAGUUUCUGUGUUCCUACAAACGCACCUCAUCUACCUCCACCAACACAGACAACCAAAUAUAAAUACUAAUUGAUACAAAUAUAAAUAGUGUUUAUAUUUUAUAUUCCUUCAAACCCUGCUUAAAAUGUCCUCUGUUGUAGCUUUUUGGUAUUCCUCCUCUCCUCAUCAAAUACCUCUUCUUCUUGUUCCAAUGGAAAAAAGCAAAACAGACCCAUUUUGUGCUGGGAUUUUAGAUGCUGGAUGCCUGCAAAACUGCCUUCUCAGCCAUGUGGCUGAGACCUCAAAGCUGAAGAACGCGUCCUUCAUACUCAGUUGCUGAGGCACUGGGGAUUUCUUAUGCGGAAGGAUUUUUUAACUAAAUGUAUAAAUCUUUUGGUAUUCAGGUGCUGCAGGAAGAGCUCCCACGUGCAUUUAUUUAACAUUAAGGUCCGUUAUAACUUCCACUCUGGCGUGAAGGAUAGGUUCAAUUACUUCCUGAUUUACGUAAAAAGCACUUAGAUUGUCUUAAGCAUCGUGAAAAAAAAAAAAAGUUUUUGUUUCAUAUAUCUCAAUUUCAGUAAAUUAUUCAUGUGAAUUUCAUUUUGACCAAAAGAAAGAUUUGUCCAAGCUGGAGAUCACCUUGCAUUUCAUGAGCUCUAUAUACCUGGAGGCCUCGAGUUGCAUCGCACACCCAGCAAGGUCAGUGCUUCUCCAGCUGUCACCGCACCUUGCAGCACCGACCUGUUUCUGGUGGCCAUGGAAGUGCUGGGAAUAAAAAAUAAAUCCAGAUUUCUAAACCUGGUUUC
rnacentral:lncRNA from 1 species